AAAUUGAAGAGUUUGAUCAUGGCUCAGAUUGAACGCUGGCGGCAGGCCUAACACAUGCAAGUCGAACGGUAACAGGAAACAGCUUGCUGUUUCGCUGACGAGUGGCGGACGGGUGAGUAAUGUCUGGGAAACUGCCUGAUGGAGGGGGA
rnacentral:rRNA from 1 species